ACUGCCAGGAGCAUAACUACCGCAAGCCUCUGUUAGGAUUUGGAUUUUACUCUUAAAUGCUUGAGAUUAUCUUGUUUUAUAAUAUUUUCUCAUCAUUGAACAUUAUUUUAAUAUCAUUCUUUAAAUAACAAAACAAGUUCAUAUUUUGUUCUAGUGGCACUAAAGAAUAUGGGAUGAAACAACUGAACAUGGACCAUUUAAAUAAAUCAACCUGUGAGGAAAAUCUUUCUCAAAACCUUAACCAGCCAGGAUGACCAAGAUCUAAUCAAAGAUGGCAAAAUAAAUUUUAAGUUUUUUUAUUAAAGCUUUUUAUUUUCAAAA